rnacentral:rRNA from 1 species
UGGGGAAUAUUGCGCAAUGGGCGAAAGCCUGACGCAGCGACGCCGCGUGAGGGAUGAAGGUUUUCGGAUCGUAAACCUCUGUCAGAAGGGAAGAAACCGCACUGUGCUAAUCAGCAGUGCCUUGACGGUACCUUCAAAGGAAGCACCGGCUAACUCCGUGCCAGCAGCCGCGGUAAUACGGAGGGUGCAAGCGUUAAUCGGAAUUACUGGGCGUCAAGCGCACGUAGGCUGCUUUGUAAGUCAGGGGUGAAAUCCCACGGCUCAACCGUGGAACUGCCGUUGAUGCUGCUUAGCGUGGAUCCGGGGGAGGGUGGCGGAAUUCCAGGUGUAGGAGUGAAAUCCGUAGAUAUAUGGAGGAACGUCAGUGGCGAAGGCGGCCACCUGAACCGGUAUUGACGCUGAGGUGAGAAAGGGUGGGGAGCAAACAGG